ensembl:snRNA U6 U6 spliceosomal RNA
GUGCUCACUUCGGCAGCACAUAUACUAAAAUUGGAACGAUACUGAGGAGAUUAGUGUGACCCCUGGCUAAGUAUCACACACAAAUUUGUGAAGCGUUCCAUAUUUUU